AAGAUUCUAGUAGAAUUAUAACAUUACUUCGUCAGAGUAAAAAUGUAGGAUAAAAUCCUACGAAUCUUU
rnacentral:tRNA from 1 species